ACGAGUGGCGGACGGGUGAGUAACACGUGGGUAACCUGCCCUUAAGUGGGGGAUAACAUUUGGAAACAGAUGCUAAUACCGCAUAAAUCCAAGAACCGCAUGGUUCUUGGCUGAAAGAUGGCGUAAGCUAUCGCUUUUGGAUGGACCCGCGGCGUAUUAGCUAGUUGGUGAGGUAACGGCUCACCAAGGCAAUGAUACGUAGCCGAACUGAGAGGUUGAUCGGCCACAUUGGGACUGAGACACGGCCCAAACUCCUACGGGAGGCAGCAGUAGGGAAUCUUCCACAAUGGACGCAAGUCUGAUGGAGCAACGCCGCGUGAGUGAAGAAGGCUUUCGGGUCGUAAAACUCUGUUGUUGGAGAAGAAUGGUCGGCAGAGUAACUGUUGUCGGCGUGACGGUAUCCAACCAGAAAGCCACGGCUAACUACGUGCCAGCAGCCGCGGUAAUACGUAGGUGGCAAGCGUUAUCCGGAUUUAUUGGGCGUAAAGCGAGCGCAGGCGGUUUUUUAAGUCUGAUGUGAAAGCCCUCGGCUUAACCGAGGAAGUGCAUCGGAAACUGGGAAACUUGAGUGCAGAAGAGGACAGUGGAACUCCAUGUGUAGCGGUGAAAUGCGUAGAUAUAUGGAAGAACACCAGUGGCGAAGGCGGCUGUCUGGUCUGUAACUGACGCUGAGGCUCGAAAGCAUGGGUAGCGAACAGGAUUAGAUACCCUGGUAGUCCAUGCCGUAAACGAUGAAUGCUAGGUGUUGGAGGGUUUCCGCCCUUCAGUGCCGCAGCUAACGCAUUAAGCAUUCCGCCUGGGGGAGUACGACCGCAAGGUUGAAACUCAAAGGAAUUGACGGGGGCCCGCACAAGCGGUGGAGCAUGUGGUUUAAUUCGAAGCAACGCGAAGAACCUUACCAGGUCUUGACAUCUUUUGAUCACCUGAGAGAUCAGGUUUCCCCUUCGGGGGCAAAAUGACAGGUGGUGCAUGGUUGUCGUCAGCUCGUGUCGUGAGAUGUUGGGUUAAGUCCCGCAACGAGCGCAACCCUUAUGACUAGUUGCCAGCAUUUAGUUGGGCACUCUAGUAAGACUGCCGGUGACAAACCGGAGGAAGGUGGGGAUGACGUCAAAUCAUCAUGCCCCUUAUGACCUGGGCUACACACGUGCUACAAUGGAUGGUACAACGAGUUGCGAGACCGCGAGGUCAAGCUAAUCUCUUAAAGCCAUUCUCAGUUCGGACUGUAGGCUGCAACUCGCCUACACGAAGUCGGAAUCGCUAGUAAUCGCGGAUCAGCACGCCGCGGUGAAUACGUUCCCGGGCCUUGUACACACCGCCCGUCACACCAUGAGAGUUUGUAACACCCGAAGCCGGUGGCGUAACCCUUUUAGGGAGCGAGCCG
rnacentral:rRNA from 1 species